UGCGGCCGUGGCUCCGGUUGAUCCUGCCGGACCCGACCGCUAUCGGGGUAAGGCUAAGCCAUGGGAGUCGAACGCCCGCCGCCGCGGGCGUGGCGGACGGCUGAGUAACACGUGGCUAACCUACCCUCGGGAGGGGGAUAACACCGGGAAACUGGUGCUAAUCCCCCAUAGGGGCGGUGGCCUGGAAGGGUACCGCCCCGAAAGGGGGAGGCGGGGGUUAUCGCCGCCUCUCCGCCCGAGGAUGGGGCUGCGCCCUAUCAGGUAGUUGGCGGGGUAACGGCCCGCCAAGCCUAAGACGGGUAGGGGCCGUGGGAGCGGGAGCCCCCAGAUGGGCACUGAGACAAGGGCCCAGGCCCUACGGGGCGCACCAGGCGCGAAAACUCCGCAAUGCGGGCAACCGUGACGGGGUUACCCCGAGUGCCCCCAUUACGGGGGCUUUUCCCCGCUGUAAACAGGCGGGGGUAAUAAGCGGGGGGCAAGUCUGGUGUCAGCCGCCGCGGUAAUACCAGCCCCGCGAGUGGUCGGGACGUUUAUUGGGCCUAAAGCGCCCGUAGCCGGCCUGGUAGGUCCCCUCCUAAAACCCGGGGCUCAACCCCGGGGGUGGAGGGGAAACCACCAGGCUAGGGGGCGGGAGAGGCCGAGGGUACUCCCGGGGUAGGGGCGAAAUCCGAUAAUCCCGGGAGGACCGCCAGUGGCGAAGGCGCUCGGCUGGAACGCGCCCGACGGUGAGGGGCGAAAGCCGGGGGAGCGAACCGGAUUAGAUACCCGGGUAGUCCCGGCUGUAAACGAUGCGGGCUAGGUGUUGGGCGGGCUUCGAGCCCGCCCAGUGCCGCAGGGAAGCCGUUAAGCCCGCCGCCUGGGGAGUACGGCCGCAAGGCUGAAACUUAAAGGAAUUGGCGGGGGAGCACCACAAGGGGUGGAGCCUGCGGCUUAAUUGGAGUCAACGCCGGGAACCUCACCGGGGGCGACAGCAGGAUGAAGGUCAGGCUGAAGACCUUACCUGACGCGCUGAGAGGAGGUGCAUGGCCGUCGCCAGCUCGUGCCGUGAGGUGUCCGGUUAAGUCCGGCAACGAGCGAGACCCCCACCCCUACUUGCUACCCGGGGCUCCGGCCCCGGGGCACAGUAGGGGGACUGCCGCCGUAUAAGGCGGAGGAAGGAGGGGGCUAUGGCAGGUCAGCAUGCCCCGAAACCCCCGGGCUGCACGCGGGCUACAAUGGCGGGGACAGCGGGUUGCGACCCCGAAAGGGGGAGCAAAUCCCUCAAACCCCGCCGAGGUUGGGAUCGAGGGCUGCAACUCGCCCUCGUGAACGCGGAAUCCCUAGUAACCGCACGUUAGCAUCGUGCGGUGAACACGUCCCUGCUCCUUGCACACACCGCCCGUCGCUCCACCCGAGGGAGGAGGGGGUGAGGCCCCCGGGGGAAACCCCGGGGGUCGAACCCCCUCCUCCCGAGGGGGGAGAAGUCGUAACAAGGUAGCCGUAGGGGAACCUGCGGCUGGAUCACCUCCA
rnacentral:rRNA from 1 species